UUAACGGCUAGGAAAAAGAUAGACGCCUUUUUAGUUUAUUUAAGAGAGUUAUUGUUUGGUGGAAAAUAACAUAAAUAAAAAGAAACGGAUCACUUUGGAGCUAAUAUGAUGAAUUAAGUAAUUAUAUUCGUAAACUUGCGUUAAAAGGGAAUUGAGUGCCUAGAAAUAGGAACUAAGGUGGUACCGCGUUAAUUUAACGUCCUUAGA
rnacentral:ncRNA from 1 species